GGCUAGAGCAGGAUGUGGGGCUUUCAAGGGCUCCAGCAUAUUGUUGAGGAUUGGAUGGGAGAGGAAAGAGCAGAGGGAGAUCUGUAUCCAGAAGAGGCAUGGCUCCAUCCUCAGAAGGUGAUACCAACAAGCUUUGCAGGAGACUCUUCUGGGAACUCUCAUCUUUGCAACUGGCAGGCUAUUGUGCCAGCUGCCUGCUCCCCCAACUUGCUCUGUCUAGUCUCUGGCAGUGAAUCUGCAGACUUAAAAUUCCAUUUUCCAUGCCUUUGGCCCUGAAGGAGGCUUUGGGCUGCAGGUAGAGGAAACACAGCAGUUCCCUCUACUUGGAAAAGGGUGGUUCCCCGUUAUAACAGGCCUGCCGAUUCUCAACAUGUUCCUGAUGAGAUUAGAAGCUCCUGCAGGUGAAUCUGCCCAGCACUAUCUGGGGUGAAUGGACAUCUCUUAAAGAAAGCACAGUGCAGUGAAGGACUGGACCCCACUUCUCUGGAACAUACCCAAAUUGUGAGGCCAUAGAUUGCCUUGCUAAGAGCUCAUGUCUCUGCAGCACCCGCUGCACAGCCAAGUGUAAGAAGAGCAGAUUGUUGCCAGGUGGUGGACUCACUCUGCCCCACUGAUGGACCAGAUCCUCUAAGCUGGCAAGGCAGCAUGAACCAGGCUGGGAAAGUGGGUCAUAUCACUGAUUCUGUAAGGAUCUCUAGGCCA
rnacentral:lncRNA from 1 species